GAAGAAGGUGCUUGCUUCUCCUUUGCUUUCUGCCAUAAUUGCAAGUUUCCUGAGACCUCCCAGUCAUUCUUCCUGUUAAGCCUUCAGAACUGGGCAUAAUUCAAUGCAUAACAUGAUUCCUCUCCCUGCUGCUUCAGAACUGUAAGUGCUGACAGCCAUUUCCUGCUGCUUGCACAUGUGUGCUUGAUCAUUCUGUUGGUUUUCAGUAACCCUGCCUAUGUUUUUACAUAUACUUUCUUCAUUCAACUCUCUUGGUUGUUUCUCUUGAUCAUGCCUUCUGUUUCCUGCCAGGACCCUUACCAUGGUAAACUGCUUCCCCCAUCUUCCCAAAACUCAGUGUAGCAUAUAUGAAAUUGGCCCAGGUAAGAUGUCCAAAAUUUAGAGGUUUGGGGUUAAAAGAUAAAAAAAAAAA
rnacentral:lncRNA from 1 species